AAGCCACUGAGGAGUGGCUUCACUAAAGUUGAGGAGCAAAACCGUAAUGAAGAGGGAGAGAAAAUGGGGACGGGUCUCAAGAGGCUAGAAUCAUCCAGAUCAAGGUCACUGUCUCCGUCUUGUGCUCAUUCUGAGCUCAGCUAAGACCGGCCAGGGGCUGUUCCUUCCAGAGUUAUCAGUUGGGAGCUAAAGCAGCUCUUUAGAGAGACAAAUGGUUUUCCUGGGCGACAGAGGCUGCCGAGGCGUUGCUAAGCACAGUGGAAAUCAAAACAGCAGUCUGAAACAGAAGCUGCAGAGCCAAGACAAAAGCCAACGGGGCUGACACGUCAGCCUGCGAGGAAACUUGCCUGCCCUCCCACCUCCUGCCUCCCUCCCUCCCCGAAAUGUCCAGGCCACGCUGAAGAGCCAGCGGGAGGGGGUCCUCAAAAAAGCAUUGCCUAAGCAAACGCACCGCCCCCCACCAAACCUCGCUGCAGUGCACAACCCAGCCAGAGAAAAUAAGGGGGGAAUGCAUCCUCUCCUGCGGCCACAGCUGGAAAAACAUCUGCAGGGCACCCCCACCCUGAGCCGAGGUCAGCAGUGGCUGAGGUUACUGGGCUGAAGGAGCUGGCGGCUUGGACAGCAGGGCUCAAGUGCAGAGCUGGACACGGAGCCUUUACAGUUUUUUCCACCCUUAAAAAGGGGAAAUCAAGGUCUUCAUUCAGCACUGAUACAGUGCGGAAUAUGCGUCUGGCUGACCAAGGACCAGGCACAGGGACCCAAGCCUCAAUCAGCAGUUCCUUACAGCUCAGGGUGGGGCAGCUGUGGGGAAUAAGAAUGAAGCAUAAAAAUAGCUCUCACCUCA